UCCAGACUCCUACGGGAGGCAGCAGUGGGGAAUAUUGCACAAUGGGGGGAACCCUGAUGCAGCGACGCCGCGUGAGUGAAGAAGUAUUUCGGUAUGUAAAGCUCUGUCAGCAGGGAAGAAGAAAGACGGUACCUGACCAAGAAGCCCCGGCUAACUACGUGCCAGCAGCCGCGGUAAUACGUAGGGGGCAAGCGUUAUCCGGAUUUACUGGGUGUAAAGGGAGCGUAGACGGCGAUGCAAGCCAGAUGUGAAAGCCCGGGGCUCAACCCCGGGACUGCAUUUGGAACUGUGUGGCUGGAGUGUCGGAGAGGCAGGCGGAAUUCCUAGUGUAGCGGUGAAAUGCGUAGAUAUUAGGAGGAACACCAGUGGCGAAGGCGGCCUGCUGGACGAUGACUGACGUUGAGGCUCGAAAGCGUGGGGAGCAAACAGGAUUAGAUACCCGCGUA
rnacentral:rRNA from 1 species